rnacentral:lncRNA from 1 species
UCCGUGGUCUGAUAGAGGGGCCAUGCUAGGGCGCCUGAUUUAAGAAUGGGUGGUGGUCAUCUCUGAUAGUCCACAGGCAUUUGAAGUUCCCUGUGGGGAGGAAGAAACCCCUAAAACUUUCAUCCUGCCGUUAAGUGCUCCUAGGAACCCCCAUGUUCAGCUCCUCUCCGCACCCCUCCUCAUGGCCUCCUCUCCAAGGUUGACAAGUAUCAGCUAAAACACAGAAUGAGGUUCCCUGUCUCCCUCCCCAAACGUUCAGCUGAGACCGAGCAGCCUCGUGACUGGGCGUGGGGGAGAAUGGAGGCUGUAGGUGAGGGAAGGAGUCAGUGUGUACUUAUGUGUACGUGUGUCUGUGAGCGUGUGUGCAUGCCGUGGGCACUGCAGAGAUCUAGGCCCUAGAGGAAUCUGGUUCUCCAACUCUGCUAGUCCAGUUUUAGGAUUGCAGCGGCUCCAGAUCUCCUUGGAGAUUUCCCCAAAGCAAAAUUCCCAAGGCCUGCUUGCAUCCUAGUGACCCUGAUCCCUCUCCCUGGGGGUAGGAGUGAGAACCUGUGCGGGUGCCUGCACCCCUUUGCCAGCUGCAGCUGGAUCCAGCUAGGUUUGUCCAGCCAUAUGGCCCUCAGGCAAUAACCCGUGGCUCCGAGGCUCCUUCCCAUAGCUUUUAGCAAGGGAGGGGGGAAGGCUUCCUCCAAAGUUUAUUUCUGAGUUGAAGAACCAACUUCUCAUAGGUGACUUAGUUCCAACUAGAUCAGGAAGAAUUUCCAUGGUACUGAGCUACUAAGCCCUCGCUCCGCUGAACUCCAGCCCCAACUUGACUCUUGUCUCCUGCUCUACUAAGACCAGAGACUUUGCCCUUUUUUGCAAAGUCUUGGCCUGUUUGUAGCCCUCUCUUCCGUGUUUGUUUUGUAUUCUAUUUAAGCUCCAGAUGGCCAAAAACAACAACAGAAAAUAAGGCCACCUAGCCUAAAGUGAAAGAACUUAUUUAUUUCAUUUUAGAAACAACUUUGAUCAUUGAAUUCUAGGAGUUUGGCUGAAAGGGAGCCCAACUGGAGGAAGAGAAAAGGUUUCCUGGCCUUAGCCGGAGCAUAAAGACAGCGAGGGGCUGAUGGGAGAGAUGAGAAAAAGACUUAGAGAUGCUGGCUCAGUUGGGCAAAGUGAUAGAGCAGCAGAGAGGCUCCCCCAGACCCCAAUCCUGGACAACUGUGGCCUGAGCUGAGCGAGGGACAGUAGCCUGUGCUCUGUAAAACCGGCCUUCAGUUCCUUUUCCGGGUAACUUGCUGCUGGCUCUGAGAACCCCUGGCAGCCUGCAUUUGCUGUUUCUCUUUGCUCUUCCUCAGCAACAUCAGAAAUGAGAAUUUAUCCUUAAAAGACCCUGGACUUCUUUUAAGGGGACUCCUUGAGUCCCUCUUUCUGCCAGGGGUGGGUCUCCCUUAAUACAACCUUGAUCCUCUGGCUCUGUGUAGAGGCUAAGCAGGCCUUGUGUCUUUCCUUGUUCCCUUACAGAAGGCCGGGAGUGUGUCAACUGUGGUGCCACAGCCACCCCUCUCUGGCGACGAGAUGGCACGGGCCACUACCUGUGCAAUGCCUGUGGGCUCUACCACAAGAUGAAUGGACAGAACCGGCCGCUCAUCAAGCCCAAGCGGAGGCUGGUAAGAAAGGGCACAUCAUGGGGCAGGGCAGGGCCACGGUGGCCAGUGGCAAUCUGGGCAGAGCGGGUUAGUUAAGU